rnacentral:tRNA from 1 species
GGUGAGUUGGCUCAGUGGGUAGAGCCAAGGGCUCGCGACCGGAAGUUCCGGGUUCGAAUCUCGCAAGAGGCG